GCCAGUGAGGGGUAGUGGUCUGAGCGUUGGACUAUGACUCUGGAGACCAGGGUUCGAAUCCCUGCUUCGCCA